UACGUAGGGCGCAAGCGUUGUCCGGAAUUAUUGGGCGUAAAGAGCUCGUAGGCGGCUUGUCACGUCGGGUGUGAAAGCCCGGGGCUUAACCCCGGGUCUGCAUUCGAUACGGGCUAGCUAGAGUGUGGUAGGGGAGAUCGGAAUUCCUGGUGUAGCGGUGAAAUGCGUAGAUAUCGUCUGGAACGCCGAAGGUGAAAACAGCUCGCUGGGGCUGCGCUGACGCUGAGACACGAAAGCCAGGGGAGCGAACGGG
rnacentral:rRNA from 1 species